GGAAAGCAUCGAACAGAGCAAGUAAUUUAUUGGAUACUGUACUGAAAGUGAAAACCAGAAUGGUUGUACGGUACAAAAUGGUGCUGAGUGUUAAUGAUGGGAUAUUUGUCCUCUGAGAGGAGUACAGAAGAGUAAUAUUAACUACCUGCAACCCUCCCUCCUAUGUGGAAAUAAAAUUAAUGUUGUGACAUAAGCUGACAAAAACCAGGAAAUUAAAAGUUAAGGCUGAGA